AGAAUCAACGCUGGCGGCGCGCUUAACACAUGCAAGUCGAACGAGAAAGGGGAGCAAUCCCUGAGUAAAGUGGCGUACGGGUGAGUAACACGUGGGUAAUCUACCUUUUGGUGGGGGAUAACCUUGGGAAACCGGGGCUAAUACCGCAUAAUCUCGCAAGAGCAAAGGAGCAAUUCGCCGAAAGAAGAGCCCGCGGCUGAUUAGCUAGUUGGUAGGGUAAUGGCCUACCAAGGCUUUGAUCGGUAGCCGGCCUGAGAGGGCACACGGCCACACUGGCACUGAAACACGGGCCAGACUCCUACGGGAGGCAGCAGUGGGGAAUCUUGCACAAUGGGGGCAACCCUGAUGCAGCGACGCCGCGUGAGCGAUGAAGCCUUUCGGGGUGUAAAGCUCUUUCGACAGGAACGAUAAUGACGGUACCUGGAGAAGAAGCUGCGGCUAACUACGUGCCAGCAGCCGC
rnacentral:rRNA from 1 species